UUGGGGGAUCUGAGUCGAAGGCUGCAGCGGCGGCGGCUUGGGAGACUGGAGCAGCGGCGGCGGCUCGGGAGAUUAGAGCGUCGGCGGCGGUGGCGGCGGCGCGGCGGCUUCACGGGCUUGGGGACUGGAGCGGCGUCGACGGGGAGUGGCUGGGCCGCAAGAUUUUCCCCUUCCACCGCGAGAGAUUCCUGUGCUUGCAUGUUCUUAGCCGUUUCCAAAUCUUUGAGGGAUUCAACUGAUUUGCUGGAUGCCCAAACUUUGCUUCGUUUCCAAACUGAGUUGGUUUCUUUCAGACCAUAAGGCCACCAGGCGAUAAUGGAAUCUGAAGUUGAGGUGAAUACUGUUAUACCAUUGCAGACCCAUGACAUGCAGUCUGAUGCAGAAUCAACUACUCGAGUUAAUCCACGUCUCGAUAUAGGGUUUUUCACACCAACAAAAUCCACAAGCAUCCCCACAUGUGAUUCAUUCUACACACCAGAUUGUGAUGAAUCCAUAACUCCAACUAUUGGGAUGUAUUUUUCUGAUGUGAACACAGCAAAGGGGUUCUAUGAGG